rnacentral:rRNA from 1 species
GACGUAGGGAGCAAGCGUUGUCCGGAUUUACUGGGCGUAAAGGGCGCGUAGGCGGCUUGUUAAGUGUGAAGUGAAAUCUCCAGAGCUCAACUCGGAAACUGCUUUGCAAACUGGCAAGCUUGAGGAAGGCAGAGGUGAGUAGAAUUCCCGGUGUAGCGGUGACAUGCAUUGAUAUCGGGAGGAAUACCCAUGGCGAAGGCAGCUCACUGGGCCUCUCCUGACGCUGAGGCGCGAAAGCGUGGGUA